rnacentral:rRNA from 1 species
AUUGAACGCUGGCGGCAUGCUUUACACAUGCAAGUCGAACGGCAGCGGGGGCUUCGGCCUGCCGGCGAGUGGCGAACGGGUGAGUAAUGCAUCGGAACGUGCCCAGUCAUGGGGGGAUAACUACGCGAAAGCGUAGCUAAUACCGCAUACGCCCUGAGGGGGAAAGCGGGGGAUCGCAAGACCUCGCGUGAUUGGAGCGGCCGAUGUCGGAUUAGCUAGUUGGUGGGGUAAAGGCCUACCAAGGCGACGAUCCGUAGCGGGUCUGAGAGGAUGAUCCGCCACACUGGGACUGAGACACGGCCCAGACUCCUACGGGAGGCAGCAGUGGGGAAUUUUGGACAAUGGGGGGCAACCCUGAUCCAGCCAUGCCGCGUGAGUGAAGAAGGCCU